rnacentral:rRNA from 1 species
UAAGACGAACCGUCCAAACGUUAUUCGGAAUCACCGGGCUUAAAGGGUGCGUAGGCGGUCCGGGAAGUUGGGUGUGAAAGCCCUCGGCUCAACCGAGGAAUUGCGCCCAAAACUGCCGGACUAGAGGGAGACAUAGGUGAGCGGAACUUAGGGUGGAGCGGUGAAAUGCGUUGAGAUCCUAAGGAACACCAGUAGCGAAAGCGGCUCACUGGGUCUCUUCUGACGCUGAGUGCACGAAAGCUAGGGGAGCGAAGAGGAUUAGAUACCCUCGUAGUCCUAGCCGUAAACAAUGAGCACUGAUUUGGAGGGUCCUCCAUAGCCUUCCAGAUGUAGCGAAAGUGUUAAGUGCUCCGCCUGGGGAGUAUGGUCGCAAGGCUG